rnacentral:rRNA from 1 species
CCUACGGGAGGCAGCAGUGGGGAUAUUGCACAAUGGGGGGAACCCUGAUGCAGCGACGCCGCGUGAGCGAUGAAGUAUUUCGGUAUGUAAAGCUCUAUCAGCAGGGAAGAAAAUGACGGUACCUGACUAAGAAGCCCCGGCUAACUACGUGCCAGCAGCCGCGGUAAUACGUAGGGGGCAAGCGUUAUCCGGAUUUACUGGGUGUAAAGGGAGCGUAGACGGCGGUGCAAGCCAGAUGUGAAAGCCCGGGGCUCAACCCCGGGACUGCAUUGGGAACUACCGGGCUGGAGUGCCGGAGAGGUAGG